CAGUCGCCGCGGUAAUACGUAGGGUGCAAGCGUUAAUCGGAAUUACUGGGCGUAAAGCGUGCGCAGGCGGUUUGUUAAGACAGAUGUGAAAUCCCCGGGCUUAACCUGGGAACUGCAUUUGUGACUGGCAAGCUAGAGUAUGGCAGAGGGGGGUGGAAUUCCGCGUGUAGCAGUGAAAUGCGUAGAUAUGCGGAGGAACACCGAUGGCGGAGGCAGCCCCCUGGGCCAAUACUGACGCUCAUGCACGAAAGCGUGGGGAGCAAACAGGAUUAGAUACCCCCGUAGUCCCUGUCUCUUAUAC
rnacentral:rRNA from 1 species